GACGUUUCAUAUGACGUAGAUACAGAAGUACAGAAAUAGUGCGCAUCGGAGUAUUUACGGGUAACUUAACUCACAAGGUGAUCGUUGGGCCCUGAUCAGAAUCCUUUAUGACAGAUUGAAGGGUGAACUUUCAAGAAUGCUCGACUCAGAUGACGCCAAUAACCCACCAAACGACUACUCUCCACCAGCUGCUUCUCAGGUGAAACAGAAAAGGCGUCACUUCCGACCAGCCCACAGACACAGCCAAAUGAGACCAAUCAUCUUGAUCAACCGGCACUAAGAGAUCCUGAAGAACAGAAAGACACAAGCAGAAUCAGUGUCCCGUCAGCGCCUGCUUUCCUGGUCUUUCCACACACUGCUUUCCAGGUCCUUCCAGACUCCAAUAUCAGGUUUAGGCAUGUGCUGCCAUCCAGGUCCCCCAAAUGGCCAAGGUCCUUCCAAUUGCUGCUAUACAGGUCCCACCACCUUAUGCGGUCAAAGUCCCUCCAUACUUUGAAUUCCAUGUUCCUCUGUCCGUUAGCCUGCUGUUCAGUUACCUCAAACAGCUGUGAUCCAUUCCUCUACGAGACGUGGCUGCUGAGUGCAUUACCUGCUGCAUUGCCCUCAUGUUUACACCUGAGCAACUGGACACAUGCUCCCCCAACAACAACUGGAACGCCGGGACCAGAACUUCCUUGUACAAAGCGGAAUGCGAUCAUUGGUUAAUAUUGUAGAGAGGACUAAUGCUUUUGCCAAAAAAUUCCAUUUGCCUCUGGUGGAAGUGGAGGACAUGUAUGGGGUGCAUUGAGGCGCGCUGGCGAUGUACAAAGAUAUUUAAUGUAUAAUGCUAGGAUGGUAUGUAAUAAUACUAUUUAUUUAUAUACCUUUUGAUGCUUCGACUAAUUUAUUUUGCACUAAUUAUUACUUAAUGAUUUUGUUUAAUAAGUUCAAUAUAACGCAAAUUCGAAAUGGGACAAUGCACUUUUUUGUGUUUUUAUGUCAAUUUUUUUUGUUGGUAUUAAUCUUUAUAUCAAUUUUUAUCAAUAACCUGUUAACUCAAAAAAUAUAUAUGUGAAAUUGAGUACUUCGUUCUGUUAUAUGAAUGAUGAA